rnacentral:rRNA from 1 species
ACCCGCUGAACUUAAGCAUAUCAAUAAGCGGAGGAAAAGAAACUAACAAGGAUUCCCCUAGUAACGGCGAGUGAAGCGGGAAGAGCUCAAAUUUAAAAUCUGGCAGUGUAUUCUGUCCGAGUUGUAGUCUAGAGAAGCAUCAUCCGUGCUGGACCAUGUACAAGUCUCUUGGAACAGGACGUCACAGAGGGUGAGAAUCCCGUACGUGGUCGCUAGCCUUUACCGUGUAAAGCCCCUUCGACGAGUCGAGUUGUUUGGGAAUGCAGCUCUAAAUGGGAGGUAAAUUUCUUCUAAAGCUAAAUACUGGCCAGAGACCGAUAGCGCACAAGUAGAGUGAUCGAAAGAUGAAAAGCACUUUGGAAAGAGAGUUAAAAAGCACGUGAAAUUGUUGAAAGGGAAGCGCUUGCAGCCAGACUUGCCUGUAGUUGCUCAUCCGGGUUUUUACCCGGUGCACUCUUCUAUAGGCAGGCCAGCAUCAGUUUGGGCGGUUGGAUAAAGGUCUCUGUCAUGUACCUCUCUUCGGGGAGAACUUAUAGGGGAGACGACAUGCAACCAGCCCGGACUGAGGUCCGCGCAUCUGCUAGGAUGCUGGCGUAAUGGCUGU